UCUAGGGGCGCAGGUUCCCUGCCAAGGUUCGAGUCUUUUCCCAGCUUGCAAAGUCAGCAGCACAGCUGCCUCCAGUGUCUCCUUCCUUGUCCCUCUGAUUCUGUUGUCAUCUUGCCGUCUGACUCCCUGCCCCCCUGUUCUAAGCACCCCUGUGAUGUCAGGGCCACUGGGAUAAUCCAGGAUAAUCUCUCGUUUCAAAACAUAUAGUGUAAUCAAAUUGGCAAAAAGUGCCUUUUGCCACCUAACGCAACCUCGCAGUUUCCAGGGGCCAGGACGUGGACAGACGUGGGGGAGUAUUUUUUCAGCCCGCCACGUACGGCUCCGCAGGCGAAGUGACUCGCGUACCAGAAACGAAUUGCACACUGCGGGGCGCACUAGCGAGACUCAAGAAAACUGCAACUUCGGAAAAAAGACUCUAUUUUACGUAACACUUUAAAGGAUUCUCAGAGUCCUGGAAGUCAACACACACGAUCCUGGGUAAGCACCCUUAACGUAGAAUCCCAGCACAUCAGGCAGCCGCCACGAUGCUAAGGGAACGCCAAGGGACCGGGGCGCCUUUACGUUCGCGUCGCUUAGUCUGCCGGGACAGCAGGUGGCGCUCCCGCCCACCCGUCCGGCUCCAGGCGCCGGUUCAGGGCAAGGGAGCGUGGAGUCGCCUUGGUUCCUGCGGUGUUCCAGGCCGCGGGUACGGAGCAAGGAUGCGCGGGCCCGGAGGCGAGGAGCGGCCGGGGAGGCUUCGCCGUCGUGGCCGCGAGCAGCUGGUGACGUUGCCGAGUGCGCUGCAGAGACCCGCGGCAGAUAUGGAUGAGCCUGCCAAGGAAAAAAACGAAGCCCUUCCUCGUUAUUUAAAAAAAGCAUGGCAACAACUGCUGCUUGAUUUCGGAAGCGGGCUUCCUCGCGCGUCUCGGCGCACCGCUUCUGCCCCCAGGCCGGCUGCCUGCUCGCCAGAAGCGAGGAUGUGCGCGCCCGGGUCGGACCGGAGGCUUCCUUUCUCGGAGGCGGAGCCUUCCGGCCGAGGACGGGCUGAAGUUAUAUAUUGGAAGCCGUAGGACAGAGUUGCGUGGAAGACGGCGCGGCCUGUCCGAUUUAGAGUCUGGCGGAGGAGGUGCUGGGAGAUUGCAGGCGCUGGAAGCCAUCUGGAUAGGAGUAAAACACGGCCCCUUUCCGGAGAGCAUGUAGCCGGAGAACAAGGCUUCUCAAAGUCUGGUCGUAGAUCAACUGUCUGUCACUAAGGAUGGAGAUUACUGGGUCUUUCACCUGCUAAAUCAGUUGGAAGGAUGGGAGGUGGUGACUGCGGCUGAAUAGCUAUAUCUAUCUUAUUGAAAUAUUUUUAUUUUUACCCGAGAUUGAACCCAGACCCUUGUGAUGUAGGGGAAAGAAACUUCCAGCCUACUAGAUGUCUGAUACAAGUUCGUGUUCUUUAAAAUCGAAGAAUGAAUUUUAAGAACAAUGGAGGUUAAGAACAGAAUAUAUUUAUUGAGAGAAAGAAAACGUCCGUAGGAGAGACAGAAGAGAUCCCAGUGUGUUGCCAAAGACUGUCUUUUUUAGGGACUUUUAUAGAGUAAAUCCACAAAGUGAGGCAGGUCUAAGGUAGGGGAAACAGGGGAACUCACAAAAUGGGCAUGAGGUGGGGCAGAACUAUGACCAACCAAUAAGAUUAAUCCUCAGGUGAAGUUGAUUAAAUCGGGGACAAAUGAGGAAGCAAGUUUCAUAGCCAGAGGGCAUGCAUACAGAGCAGUGACUCUUCCUUAGGAGGUUAGGAUAGUGACUCCUGGCUUCCUCGGGGUGAUAGGGACCUACUUAGAACAUCAAUUCCUGAUGUUUAUCCUUAGGAAGUAGGUGGGUGCAUUUGAUUUAUCUUUUGUCUUAAGGUUUGGCCCACAGAGGAGGUGCCUGUCUCCCCCACAGUUGCAAGGUGUCUCAUCUUCUGCACUGGCUUCCUUGAGGGCCCAGUCCUGUGUGACUGCCUGUCAUAUUUCUUUCUAACUCAGUUGCUUGUAACACUCGCACAUGGUAGGAAAGCGCUCUACCACUGAGCUGUCCCCGCAGUAUUUUUAAUAAAUUCCCUGAAUGAUCCUCCCACUUUCUGAGUUUGGGAACCACACCUCCAGCUCUUGAUACCCAAAGUGGGUGGAGCAGAUAAAAGAACCAGCCAGAGAAUACACAUCUUUCAGAGUUGAUUCUCUAGUCUCACCAGCUAGAGGUCAUGUGGACUAAAUAAUCAAUUCUUUUCUGUCUUAUAGUCUUCACCUGUUAAACCUCAAAUCCUCUUAAAAACUGUCCCCAAAUACUUCUGGGAACAUUUUGUUUUCUCCUCCCUAAUAACUGCUUCCUGUGACUUGCAUUAAGGGAGGCACAAAAGUGGCCUCUGCAGCUUAGGUCCCCAGUCUCUCUUUUCCUGUGGGGCGCUGCACCAGCUCCCCAAAACUGCAGAACCUAAACAGCUAGAAGGAGCAAAUUUCUCCUUAGGUCUCAAGGUGCUCAAAUCAUGCUUUGUUCCUGCAAAGCUCCUGAUUCCAAUGCAGCGUCAGAGUUUGUCUAUUCUGUGGAGUGGCUCGUUGAUUCCUCAGCAUCUGUAUGAAGAUGAUCUCAUUAUUGCAGCGGUUUUCCCAAUUAGGAAACUAAGGCUCAGGGAUGUUAUGUUUCUUUUUUGGGACAAUGCACCAGCUGUGUAUAAGAAGAACAGGACUUUGAACUCAUUUCUGUCUGACCUUAAACCCAUGUCCUUCAUGAUCAGAGUGUAUUGUUGCUUUUUUUUUUUUUUUUUUAAAGCUGUGUUCUGUGCAUUGGAAUCUGAGGUUCAAACACGCCUAUCACUUAGAUCAAGCAGGACGUGGAACUGCUUGGCCACUGCUUGCGACACUUCCCUGUUACCUCCUACAAUUCCUCUUGAGAUUCUGGAGUGCCCCCCUCCACGGAUCUCUCUCUCUUGUUGCCAAGCUGACCCUGUGACACGCGGCUUCAUUACCCUGCUCCACAUAUUCUGACAUGGUUGGUAGUGAUACCCCAAUCUGCCUCUGACUUCUUUUCUGGCCCGAUUCCCUCCUCUUCCUCCUCAUACCCUGUCCCCUCUGGUCCUGUUUCUUGCCCACUUCUACUGUGGCACACUUGUCAGAGGCAGCUGAGAUGCUACUUCCUUCAUGUAGCUCUUCUGAUUCUUCUGAUUCAAGGAUGCAACCCUUGAAUUUCCCAAACCUUUUAUUUGUACAUUUCCUAAGGGGCUUAGUAAUAACAACCAUCACUUAGGGAGAAAUGACCGGACUGCGCACACUACAAGACCCUUGGUAGCAGCAACCUUCCAAGGCCAGCAGGACAGCUUCCAUUCUAUAGGUUAGGAGAACUGGACCUGUAGGAAGCUAGCAGCCCAAGAAGACACAAAAAGAACAUGAGGAGAAUCGAGUGUUCACCCAGUUCUGUCUGUCUUUAUGGUUCUCAAGCCUCCUUCAACCUUGUGUAUAGGUUUUUAAAUUUUUAGUUAGAAAUACAGUCUGAUGAGUUUCAUUUUAGAAAUAUACUUGCAUCCAACCUAUCUUGACCAUUUCACAUCCUGUUACUCCUCCCCUCACCUCAAUCCCCUUCCUUAUCUCCCAAAGUCUACCUUUCUGAUUCCUGACAUCUCUUCUUUAACUAUUACGUUAUUUGUCUAGGUUGCUUAUGUAAGGUAGCCCAAGUAAUAUUUAACUAUCUGAGUCUAGCUUAUUUGCCUUACCGUGGUGGUCGUGAGUUCCUGCCAAUUUCCUGCAGAUGACAUGACUCCAUUCUUCCUUCUAGCUGACUGACAUUACACUAUGCAUAAUGCCACAUUUCCUUUGUCCAUUUGUCUAUUGACGGACACCCAGGCUGCUUCGGGAGCUUAGUUGCUGGGCACUGUGCCACUCUAAGCCCGGGUGUGCAUAUACCAGUAUCAUAUACUUGUUUUGGAAAUAUAUCCAGGAGAGGUGUCAUAGGUCAAGUGGAAUUUCUAUUUGGGUUUCUUGAGGAGUCUCCAUACUGGCUUCCCAUAGUAGUUGUGCUAGUUUAUAUUCCUACCAAUGAUAUUAGGAGGGCGUCUUUCCUUCUGCAUCUUGCCCUGCUUUCACAUUUUUUGCAUCCUUAUUUUAUUUUCCUUUUGAGACAGAGUUUUUCUAUGUUGUUCAGGUUGGACUUGAACUCAGUAUGUAGCUGUUUUCUCCAUGUGGAUGCCCAGUUUCCCCCAAACCAUUUGUUAGAGGGGCUAGCUUUUCUCCAGAGCCUGUUUUUAGUCCCUGUGUUGAAAGUCAGAUGGCUGCAGGUGAGCAGGUUUUUUUUUUUUUUUGUCUUCCACUCUAUCUGUUGGUUUACUGCCUUGUUUUUGUGCCAGUGCCCAUGCCGUUCUUGUUACUGUGGCUUUUUAGUGUAGCUUGAAAUCCAGCAUUGCAGUGACUCUAGCAUUGCUCUUUUUGCUCAUGCCUGCUUUGGCUAUUCUGGAUCUUUUGCCAGUGAAUUUUAGGAUUUUUUUUUUAGGAUUUCUUUUUUGUAGUUCUGGGGAGAAAGUUAGUGUUUUAAUAGAAUUCCUAUUAAAUAUUUAUUUUUCAUAGUAAUGCCAUUUUCAAAUUAGCUCUUCUGAUCUAAGAACAAGGGAUAUCUUUCUGUUUUCUAAUGAUUUCUUCAGAGUUCUAUAAUUUUCAUCAUAGAGGUCUUUCCUUGGUUAGGUUUACUUUCAAGUGUUUAUUUUUUUUUAAAAUGUUGCAAGUGGAAUUGUUUUCCUGAUUUUUCUUUUGGUGAGUUUAUUAUUGGUGUGUAGGAAUACUAUUGAUUUUAAUGUAUUGAUUUUUUUUUUAUCCUACAACCUUGCUGAAUUUUUAAAAUGUUUAUGUAUUUAUUUGAGACAGGGUCUCACUGUGUAGUUUAUGCUGGCCUUGAGUUUACUAUGUAACCCAGGCUGGCCUCAAACUCACAGCGAUCCUCCUGCCUCAGCCUCCUGAGCAUUGGGAUUACUGGUAUGCACCAUGCCAGGUCACCUUGCUAAAUUUAUUUAUCAGAUCUAAAAUUUUCUGGUGGAGUUUUUCUUUUUGGGGGGGAGAUGGCCUUCUUUGUAAAGAAUUAUUAUCUGUAAAUUGGAGUAAUUUGACGUUUUCCUUUUGUUUUUCUUUUUUAAAUAAAAACUUUUUAUUAGCACAGAUUUGCUGAACAUAAUAAAUUCUUUUUAAAGCAGGGCUAGUGAUUGAACUUAUGGCCUGUACACUGAGCUACAUCCCCGGUCCCUUCAAAAUUUUUGUUAAUUUUCUCUUGCCUGAUUGCUCCGGUUAAAGUGUUGAGUUAUAUAUAUGUAUAUAUAUAUAUAUAUAUAUAUAUAUAUAUAUAUUUUUUUUUUUUUUUUUUUGGCUUUUUCGUUUUUAUCGGUACCAGGGAUUGAACUCACGACUGCCUGCUUUCAAGGCCGGCGCUUAUGCCGCUGAGCUAAAUCCCCAGCCCCUGAGUUAUAUAUUAAAUAGAGUGUUCGAAGUGACCCCGAUCUCACUUCUGAUUGUAAAGUGCAUGAUUUCAGUUUCCUCCAUUCAGGGUGAUGCUGGGUUUGUCUUUGGUUCAUCAAUCCUUUGUAAUUUUUGAAGUUUCAAUCUUGUUAAUUUAUGCUCUGAUAUUUAUUAUUACUUUCCUGUCAUUGGUUUUGGGAUUGGUUUGUUUUUCUAGGACCUUGAGAUAAAUCAUUAGAUAAUUUAUAUGUGGUUGCUCUGUUUUACUAACUGUAAAUGUCUGAUACAUUUCCCAUUAUUGUUUUAUUAUAGAAAUUUAAAAAAUUUCUUUCUUGAUUUCUUUAGUAACUUUGCUCAUUGAUUAUUUUGCUUCCCCCCCCCUUUUUUUUUUUAAUAAUUUUUUUUUGUCUUUUUCAUUUUUAUCGGUACCGGGGAUUGAACUCAUGACCGCCUGCUUGCAAGGCAGGUGCUUAUGCCACUGAGCUAAAUCCCCAGCCCCUUUCCCCCUUUUUUGGAGACAGAGUCUUGCUAUGUAGUCCAGACUAGCCUUGAACUUACUGUGUGGCCCAGGAUGGCCUGUAGCUUGCAGCAACCUUCCUGUUGCAGCCUCCUGCGAGCUGGGAUUACAGAUGUGUGCUGCCAUACCUGGACGUUUAUUUUGCUUUUGAUUUCUAGUUUCAUUCCACUGUGAUCUGAUAGGACACAGGAAAUUACUUCAGUUCUGUAACCCAGGCUGGCCUCAAGCUCAUGGCUAUGUUCCUGCCUCAGCCUCCCGAGAACUGGCAUUACAGGCAGGCACCACACACCUGGCCAGUCCCUACUAGUAUACAAAAAAGUAUACAAAAAAAGUAUACAAAAAAACUAGUAUACAAAAAAUCCUAAUAGUAUACAAAAAAGAGAAGAACCGCGUGUGGCGGCAUAUGACUGUAACCCAGGCUUUUGGAGGCUGAGAAGGUAUUUGUCUGUGCAGGAAAAUAAAGAAAAGCAGCCCCGGCUCCCAGCUAGCCCCGCCCCUUCAGGAUUGCUUCCUGCAGUUGCAGUGCUGCAGGGGUCAGGCGGGACACAGCCUCCACAAGCACCAUUUAUUUUUUCUGACCCUGUGUUGGCUCUGAGGCUGUUUGUUGGUUCACAGAUCCCACAGUGCCUGGUGGGAGAAAGUAGCCACACCAGGACUGCGCCUUCCCCGUCUCUUUCUGUCCCUGUGCCCGCCAGUUGUAUUCCAGCUGCCGCCCUCUGUGCCUCUGCAGCUUCCACUUUGCCUGGCUCCCUUGUUCAGAGACUGUCUCCCUGGACUAGGGAACAGCUGGCAGGGGAACCUCUCCACCUCCUGAGUCCGGGGAAUGUGGCGGGUAGGCUGGGUCUGGGGCAGCAGCCGCCAUACUGGGUUUCUUCCCAGGGAAGAAUUUGUGUUUUCCAAAAUGGCAUGACCUAAACUUGUACUGGGGUGAGCUGACUUUGCUUCUCAUUUCAACUGCCCUGUUUCUGUUCCCCGUCUCCUUCACCUUAUCUUCCUGUGACUGGUCUCCCCUCUGUGUCCUGCAGCUGGGCAGGCACCAGCUGACCUUGAUGAGUGUCCCCGAGCCAGCUGUGAGAGCUGCUGCCUCCAGCCUUGUAUAUAUAUAUACAUAUAUUUUAAUUUUUAAUUUUUGAAUGACUGCCCAACCUUUCCUUUGAGACUGAAGAUUUCAGAAGAGCAAGACUGGGUUUCACUCUUUCAUUCUCUGUGUCCUCAGUGACUAGGGUCAGCUGGUGAAUGACUGAGAGAAGAUGAGCCAGCCAAGUGCUGUUGAGGUGGCAGUGGCUGCUGGGUUUUGGGUGGCAUUUGGUGGGUGUGAUAGUGGUGGCCCAUAGUCCCUGUGAGGCCCAACUUUAGGUUCAGCUCUUUCCUCUCCUCCUCCGAGGUUCCUCCGAGGUUUGCUGGAAUGAGGUCUCCAGCAGGGCUCACUGCUGUUGGUCUCACCAGUGCCAGUGAAGUUGACACCAAAGAGCGCAUUUCUGCGGACUGUGGAGGGGGGAGGAGGAGAGGAGACUGAAGUCCCAGAGUGCUAGAGAUUUGAGAUUUGUCUUGGGCUCAGUACAAUUGACAGAGGUCCGGAGAGGGACAGGAGCUACAAGCCUGUCCUUCAGACUCUCGUCUCGUCCUGACAGCAGACUGGGGUGCCCUGCAGUGGGGACCCAGCUGAUUGUGUCCAGCUGUCACUGGUCCCCACCCUCAUGGAAUGUAUGUGCUAGUGUAUGUGGAGAGACUGACACAUGUAAGGAAGUUAAAAUAAAACCAACCUAUGUUAGGAGGUUAGCCUAAGGAGAAGAGUAAAGUGGGAAAGGGAUACUGGGUGUGGGGGCUGGCACUGGCAAUGGGGAAGUCAGUUUUAUUUAUUUAUUUGUUCCGGGCACACAAGGCAGGGGCUUAUGCCACUGAGCUAAAUCCCUGGCCCUGGAAGUCAGUUUUAAACAGGAUGCUCAGCAAAAUCAGCUGACUGCUGAGAAGGGGACACAGGGCAUCUGAACAGAGAGGUGAAGGAAGGGAGGGAGACAGUCCCUCAGGGAGAAGGCGCUCUGGGCAGAGAGAUGGCAGGUGUACUGUCCCAACUCAGGGUACCUCCAUCUGAGGAAUAGCAGAGAGGCCAGUCUGGCCGGAGGGGAGGGAGGGAAGAGGACAGUGGCAGCGGGGAAGGUCUGGAGGUAUUGGGAGAAGGUGGCACCUGUAUGCUCCCUGUCUGACCCUUAGCAACUGCAGGGGCUCUGACUCCAGCCCAGCCAGCCACAAGGACGUGUGCUGUGCCCAAAGGGAAAGAGUUGUCCAGGGGACACCAAACAGAAAAGCAGCAAAUUCUUGGCUCUCAAGUUUCAACAGCUUUCCUCCAACUCCUAAAGGAGCUGCUGAUCCAGGGAAAGUUGAGGACUGCUGGAAUGAGGAUCCAUAAAGUCCCUCUCAGUUAAUAAACCACAGUGCCUGCUC